GCGAACUACAACCGGAAUGGUGAUUGCAACUUUGGUCUACUUGAAUCGGGUUGGAGCUUCUGGUAUCGCAAGGACAAAUUCAAUUGGAAAAGUUUCUGACUGCAGUGCCAAUGUAGAUGACAAUUUGCCUAACUCAGACGAAGCAAUUCGUAGAGGAGAGUAUGCAGUUAUAAGAAGCUUGACUCGGGUACUGGAGGGUGGUGCUGAAGGCAAACGACAAGUGGAUGAAGUCAUAGAUAAAUG
rnacentral:misc_RNA from 1 species